AGACAGUCUCGGCCUUGAGGAACCCCCUUCGCCUCCGGUCCCCCAGCCGACCUUCCUCCGCUCCCCACGCCCUCCCCGGAGAACCCCACUGUCACUCGCGAUGCUCCGAAGACCCGGGAACUGGGCGAGGAAGGCGGCGGCCGCCUUUUUCCAGCUGGGGGGAACAAUCCUGCACCAUGACUCAACAGCCACUUCGAGGAGUGACCAGCCUGCGUUUCAACCAAGACCAAAGCUGCUUUUGCUGCGCCAUGGAGACAGGUGUGCGCAUCUACAACGUGGAGCCCUUGAUGGAGAAGGGGCAUCUGGGUGAGCUGUUGGCAGGGGAGGGGCAAUGGGCAGAAGAGCUGGGCUGGGCAUUGGCUCCCACCUCCACUGACACCCUGGUCCCUGUCCAGACCACGAGCAGGUGGGCAGCAUGGGCUUGGUGGAGAUGCUGCACCGCUCCAACCUUCUGGCCUUGGUGGGCGGUGGUAGUAGUCCCAAGUUCUCAGAGAUCUCAGGUAAGUGCCCUCAUCCUGCCCUUUGGCCCAGAUUUCUCGGAUUCCUGGCCUCCCACAGGCACCCCAAGGUACUGGCAGAUGAAGACGUCAGAGUACUUCAGAGUCACACAGAGAGGAGGCCUACAGCUUGGAAGUCAUGGAUCUUAUAGCUUGAGAAGCUUGGUGCUUUGUUUUCAUUUUAAAAAUGCUGAUUGAGUGCCUCCUGUGUGCCAUGCCCUAGAGCACUUACUGUGAGCCUGGGACUGCCCUAAGCACUUUACGUUUAUUAACUCAUUUAAUCCUCACAGUAACUCUAUGGGGUAGGAAGGAUCAUUAUCCCCAUCUUUACCGAUGAGGAAACUGAGGCCCAGUGCAGUUAAGUGACUCAUCCAAGGUCACACAAGCAAUAGGUUUUAAAAUCUUGGAGCCGUCUUCCCAAUACCCCCUUGGCUUGAGCCUCAAGUGCCAUCUUACUUUAAGGGUUUUUCUUGAUGAUCCCAUCUGAACAAGGCAGGAGUUGCCCUAGGUGAGUCACAGAGCCCUAGGAUUCCUCACGGAAAUCUCCAGGGUGCGUGGACUAGGACCCUGGAGGCAGAAAUAGUUACCAAGGGGAAGUUACAGGCCUGAGUGUGAGUCCCUGUUUGGUUGCUGAUGGGCUCUGAGGUCCUUGGCCAGACACUCUACCACUUUGAACCUCAGUUUCUUCAUCUGUAGAUGAGUGUAACAGUCUAGAACACUCCUCUCAGGGAUCAUAUCUACAAGUGCUCGUGCUGUGCGAGGAUCUCACUGGUUGUUUAUUGAAAGGCUAAGCAAGUAGGUUGAGGCCCCUGGGAAGCAGGGGUGGAUCCUGUGUCACCAGGGCUGCCCCUUACCCUAAACCUUGGCCCCGACAACCCACCCACCUGCCCAGCAGUGCUGAUCUGGGACGAUGCCCGGGAGGGCAAGGACUCCAAGGAGAAGCUGGUGCUGGAGUUCACCUUCACCAAGCCAGUGCUUUCUGUGCGCAUGCGCCAUGACAAGAUCGUGAUCGUGCUGAAGAACCGCAUCUAUGUGUACUCCUUCCCCGACAAUCCCCGAAAGCUGUUUGAGUUUGAUACCCGGGACAACCCCAAGGGGCUCUGUGACCUCUGUCCCAGCCUGGAGAAGCAACUGUUAGUGUUCCCGGGACACAAGUGUGGGAGUCUGCAACUUGUGGACCUGGCGAGCACAAAGCCUGGCACCUCGUCUGCUCCAUUCACGAUCAAUGCACAUCAGAGUGACAUAGCCUGUGUGUCUCUAAACCAGCCAGGCACUGUAGUGGCCUCAGCCUCCCAGAAGGGUACCCUUAUUCGCCUCUUUGACACACAAUCCAAGGAGAAACUGGUAGAGCUGCGCCGAGGCACUGACCCUGCCACCCUCUACUGGUGAGCACAGGGUAUGCAUGGUGGGCUGGUGACCCCAUACCACAUGACAUAUGGGCAUCACUGCUGAUCUGUCUUCUAGCAUUAACUUCAGCCACGACUCCUCCUUCCUCUGCGCUUCCAGUGAUAAGGGCACCGUCCAUAUCUUUGCUCUCAAGGAUACCCGCCUCAACCGCCGCUCCGCGCUGGCUCGCGUGGGCAAGGUGGGGCCUAUGAUUGGGCAGUACGUGGACUCUCAGUGGAGCCUGGCGAGCUUCACUGUGCCUGCUGAGUCAGCUUGCAUCUGCGCCUUCGGUCGCAAUACUUCCAAGAACGUCAACUCUGUCAUUGCCAUCUGCGUAGAUGGGACCUUCCACAAAUAUGUCUUCACCCCCGAUGGAAACUGCAACAGAGAGGCUUUCGACGUGUACCUUGACAUCUGUGAUGAUGAUGACUUUUAAGGACCCUGGGGGCUGUGCUAGGGACCUGCAGUGGCAGACUGCAGAGCUGAGCCUUGGCAGUGGGGCGUGCUUGGAAGCCACCAGCCAGCAAGCAUUAAUGGGGCUGGUGCCCACUUUCCACUCAGCAGAGCUAUGUCUAAAUAAAGAGCUCACUUCCCCCCAGCACUUCUUGAUGACUGUGUGCCCCAAGGGCCAGGCCGGAGACCCAGGAAGGCAGCGACCCCUUGGGAUCCCUAACCUGGAGGAAAUUGCCAGGGACCCAGAGGAAGUGCCCUAAUCCAACCUGGGGAUUUUUUUAAAGCUUCCUAGGAAGAGAUGAUCUCCGAUGUGAUGAAUACGAAUAAAAGGCCCUUAAUGGCAUUUACGGCU
rnacentral:sRNA from 1 species